CUUUCGGUCUGUUUGGUGGGCAAGAUGGCUGUGCCCAGUGCGAGACACAUGGUUGCUGUUCAUCUGCAGCGUGGGGUGGCUCAAAGUGUUGUCCUCCUGAACCAGUUUCUCCAAACCCUGUAAAAGUGCUGGGGUACAGCAAAAAAAUGAAGGACAAGAUAGAAGUCAUGGUGUUUUAGAUGACAUAGGCAGCUCCUGGAGAAUCCUAUGGAAACAGCAAACAUGAACAACACAGACAGACAAGCACAGUUAGCUCAUGCAUCCUAGUCUAGGAGUGUUUGUGAAAAUUUGGAUAUGUGCUUUCCAUAAUGCUGCCUGGAUUGAAGCAGGAACUGGAUUCACUGUAUGUGCUUCCCUAUGACAGAAAACAUUCUGCUUCUAUUUGAGUCUCUCAACAAGACAUACCUGAAAAGACUACUUCUGAGUCUGAGAAUAUUCCUGCUUCUGACAGUGUUCUGUUAGCAUAGUGUAAUCCAAGGAAGCCAUUUUUAAAAGAGAAUGUUGCCUCAUGUUUAGAGAUACUACUUUGAGUGCCAGGAUUUACAUGAAACAAAUUGGGUCAUUUCUAUAUAUGUCCCUAAUUACACUGUAUCUCUCAAAUAUUUCUCAGAUAAAGAAAUAUGACCUAAAAAACCUGAACAUGCAUAGUCAAAAAAACCCCAAACAACCCCCCAAAAAAGGUGUUGGAAAAAGAGAUCUUUUCAGUCACAACCCUGCCCAAAACCACUGAAGUUAAUGGGGUUGAAAAGAGUGUAAGUUAACUCGGUCUUGGCCUUGUACUUUUUCAGUCCCUUAUGACUUAUAGAAAGAAAUUAUUUGAUUUUUUUAAAAAACAAACUCUGACAGCUUGAGGUGGAAGCUAAUGCCUCUUUUUCUGCCAAAAUUCAUAUAAUUUGGGACGGAAAAAGUAUACUUCAUAGGCUAUGAUGAAACUAAGUGCUCACUGGAUGUCAUACUGAAUGGAAUUGUAUUCUCCAGAUUGCUGUACAGUUAGCAUAAU